rnacentral:rRNA from 1 species
UGGGGAAUUUUGGACAAUGGGCGAAAGCCUGAUCCAGCAAUGCCGCGUGAGUGAAGAAGGCCUUCGGGUUGUAAAGCUCUUUUGUCAGGGAAGAAGCGGUGAGAGCUAAUAUCUCUUGCUAAUGACGGUACCUGAAGAAUAAGCACCGGCUAACUACGUGCCAGCAGCCGCGGUAAUACGUAGGGUGCAAGCGUUAAUCGGAAUUACUGGGCGUAAAGCGUGCGCAGGCGGUUUUGUAAGUCUGAUGUGAAAUCCCCGGGCUCAACCUGGGAAUUGCAUUGGAGACUGCAAGGCUAGAAUCUGGCAGAGGGGGGUAGAAUUCCACGUGUAGCAGUGAAAUGCGUAGAUAUGUGGAGGAACACCGAUGGCGAAGGCAGCCCCCUGGGUCAAGAUUGACGCUCAUGCACGAAAGCGUGGGGAGCAAACAGGAUUAGAUACCCGCGUAGUCCCUGAGCGGGCUGGCAAGGCGCAU